rnacentral:misc_RNA from 1 species
GAUGAAGAACGUAGCGAAAUGCGAUAAGUAAUGUGAAUUGCAGAAUUCUGUGAAUCAUCGAAUCUUUGAACGCACAUUGCGCCCGCCAGUAUUCUGGCGGGCAUGCCUGUUCGAGCGUCAUUUCAACCAUCAAGCCCCAGGCUUGUGUUGGGGACCUGCGGCUGCCGCAGGCCCUGAAAACCAGUGGCGGGCUCGCUAGUCACACCGAGCGUAGUAGCAUACACAUCGCUCAGGGCGUGCUGCGGGUUCCGGCCGUUAAACCCCUUUUUUACCCAAGGUUGACCUCGGAUCAGGUAGGAAGACCCGCUGAACUUAAGCAUAUCAAUAAGCGGAGGA